rnacentral:tRNA from 1 species
GGCCCGGUGGGAGAGUGGUUAUCCAGAGGACUGCAAAUCCUUGCACGCCGGUUCGAUUCCGGCCCGGGCCUCCA